rnacentral:rRNA from 1 species
AACGAACGCUGGCGGCGCGCCUAAUACAUGCAAGUCGAGCGAGAAGACGUAGCAAUACGUUUGUAAAGCGGCGAACGGGUGAGGAAUACAUGGGUAACCUACCCUCGAGUGGGGAAUAACUAGCCGAAAGGUUAGCUAAUACCGCGUACGCUCCUUGGACUUCGGUUCAGGGAGGAAAGCGAUACCGUGGGUGUCGCGCUCUUGGUCGGGCUCAUGUCCUAUCAGCUUGUUGGUGAGGUAACGGCUCACCAAGGCUUCGACGGGUAGCUGGUCUGAGAGGACGAUCAGCCACACUGGCACUGCGACACGGGCCAGACUCCUACGGGAGGCAGCAGUAAGGAAUAUUGCGCAAUGGGCGAAAGCCUGACGCAGCGACGCCGCGUGGGGGAUGAAGGUCUUCGGAUUGUAAACCCCUUUCGGGAGGGAAGAUGGAACGAGCAAUCGUUCGGACGGUACCUCCAGAAGCAGCCACGGCUAACUUCGUGCCAGCCGCCGCUGUAAU